rnacentral:rRNA from 1 species
AACGAACGCUGGCGGCAGGCUUAACACAUGCAAGUCGAACGGGCAUAGCAAUAUGUCAGUGGCAGACGGGUGAGUAACACGUGGGAACCUUCCUAGAGGUACGGAACAACGCAGGGAAACUUGUGCUAAUACCGUAUACGCUGGAUACAGGAAAGAUUUAUCGCCUUUAGACGGGCCCGCGUAGGAUUAGGUAGUUGGUGAGGUAAUGGCUCACCACGCCUACGAUCCUUAGCUGAUCUGAGAGGAUGAUCAGCCACACUGGAACUGAGACACGGUCCAGACGCCUACGGGAGGCAGCAGUGGUGAAUCUUGGACAAUGGGCGCAAGCCUGAUCCAGCCAUGCCGCGUGAGUGAAGAAGGCCUUCGGGUUGUAAAGCUCUUUUACCAGGGACGAUAAUGACGGUACCUGGAGAAUAAGCCCCGGCUAACUUCGUGCCAGCCGCCGCGGUAA